AACGAACGCUGGCGGCGCGUCUUAAGCAUGCAAGUCGAACGGCAAGAUUGGUGCUUGCACCGAUCCUAGAGUGGCGGACUGGUGAGUAACGCGUGGGUGACGUACCCUAAGGAUGGGGAUAGCUGGUAGAAAUAUCAGAUAAUACCGAAUAUCCUUAUUGCUGUUAGAGGACAGUAAGGAAAGGAGCUUUGGCUUCGCCUAAGGAUCGGCCCGCGUACUAUUAGCUAGUUGGUGAGGUAACGGCUCACCGAGGCGACGCAAGUUAUCCGGCACAAGGGGGUGAACGGGCCCAGUGGGACUGAGAGACGCCCCAGACACCUACGGGCGGCAGCAGCUAGGAAUAUACCGCAAUGGAGGAAACUCUGACGGAGCGAGGCGGCGUGGAUGAUGAAGGCCGGAAGGUUGUAAAGGCCUGUUAAGCAAGAAGAAUAAACUAUACGGGGAAUGGUGGAGGGGUGACGGUAUUGCUUGAAUAAGCAACGGCUAAUUACGUGCCAGCAGCCGCCGUAAAAC
rnacentral:rRNA from 1 species